CGAACGCUGGCGGCGUGCUUAACACAUGCAAGUCGAACGGUGAAGCGCCUUCCUUUUUGGUGGGUGUGGAUGAGUGGCGAACGGGUGAGUAACACGUGAGUAACCUGCCCCCUUCUUCUGGAUAACCGCAUGAAAGUGUGGCUAAUACGGGAUAUUCUGGGUCUGUUGCAUGAUGGGUCUGGGAAAGAUAUUGUUUCGGUGGGGGGUGGGCUCGCGGCCUAUCCGCUUGGUGGUGGGGUGAUGGCCUACGAAGGCGGUGACGGGUAGCCGGCCUGAGAGGGUGGACGGUCACACGGGGACUGAGACACGGACCAGACUCCUACGGGAGGCAGCAGUGGGGAAUAUUGCACAAUGGGCGCAAGCCUGAUGCAGCGACGCCGCGUGAGGGAUGGAGGCCUUCGGGUUGUGAACCUCUUUCGCCAGUGAAGCAGGCCUGCCUCGUUUGUGGGUGGGUUGACGGUAGCUGGAGAAGAAGCGCCGGCUAACUACGUG
rnacentral:rRNA from 1 species